rnacentral:rRNA from 1 species
UCUGAUAGCGACUGCGGAGGUCAUUAAUGAAUUUUGAAAGGGGUUGUAGCUGGCCGUCUCUUUGGGGCGGCAUGUGCACGCCCUGAUCACUAUCCAUCUCACACACCUGUGCACACACUGUAGGUUGGCUUGUGAUUGGAGCUACGGUCUUCAUUGACUUUGCUCUGGUUGGAGGCCCUCCUAUGUAUUAUCACAAACUACUUCAGUUUAAAGAAUGUACUCUUGCGUCUAACGCAUUUAAAUACAACUUUCAGCAACGGAUCUCUUGGCUCUCGCAUCGAUGAAGAACGCAGCGAAAUGCGAUAAGUAAUGUGAAUUGCAGAAUUCAGUGAAUCAUCGAAUCUUUGAACGCACCUUGCGCUCCUUGGUAUUCCGAGGAGCAUGCCUGUUUGAGUGUCAUGGAAUUCUCAACUCUAUUUGCUUUUGUGAAUAGAGCUUGGAUUUGGAGGUUUUAUUGCUGGUACUUGUGAUCGGCUCCUCUUGAAUGCAUUAGCUCGAACCUUUGCGGAUCAGCUAUCGGUGUGAUAAUUGUCUACGCCGUUGCAGUGAAGCAUAUCAAUGGGCUCGGCUUCCAAUCGUCCUUAUCUGGACAAUGACUUUGACCUUUGACCUCAAAUCAGGUAGGAUUACCCGCUGAACUUAAGCAUAUCAAUAACGGAAG